GACAGAGGGUGCAAACGUUGUUCGGAAUUACUGGGCGUAAAGCGCGUGUAGGCUGCUUCGAAAGUCGGAUGUGAAAGCCCUGGGCUCAACCUAGGAAGUGCACUCGAAACUUCGAAGCUGGAGCCUGGAGAGGAAGGCGGAAUUCUCGGUGUAGAGGUGAAAUUCGAUAGAUAUCGAGAGGAACGACCAGUGGCGGAAGGCGGCUCACUGGCCCCGAGUACUGACGCUGAGGCACGAAAGCGUGGGGAAGCCAAACAGGG
rnacentral:rRNA from 1 species